rnacentral:rRNA from 1 species
GUCUAUUUGGGUUUAUAUAUAGUCUGGCCUGCUCACUGACAUAGGAUUGUUUAAGAGCCGCGGUAUUUUGACCGUGCAAAGGUAGCAUAAUCAUUAGCUUUUUGAUUGAAAGCUUGUAUGAAUGGUCGGACAAAGGAAAAGCUGUCUUUACUGUAAAAUUAGAAAUUAACCUCUAAGUGAAAAGGCUUAGAUUCUUUAGGGGGACGAUAAGACCCUAUAAAGCUUUACAUAUAAGUAGAGUUUACUUAAUUAAAAAGUAAAAGUUUAAUCUAAUUAAUGUGUUUUGUUGGGGCGACAUAAAUAUAAUUUAUAUUAACUGUUUAUAAAUUAAUACAAUAAUAAAUGAUUUUAAUGUAGUUGAUCCUUAUUAAAGAUUAAAAGACUAAGUUACUUUAGGGAUAACAGCGUUAUUUCUUUUGAGAGCUCCUAUCGAAAAAGAAGUUUGCGACCUCGAUGUUGAAUUAAAAUAUCUAAAUAAUGCAGCAGUUAUUUAAGAAGGUCUGUUCGACCUUUAAAUUUUU